CACUGGCAAGAAAGAGUGAGAAGAGAUAGGGUGGAGAAGAAUUAGGUCCCCAUUGUGUCCGUGAAAGGAAGAGACUGAGUGGACAGGCCAGCUAGAGGAGCUAGAGGAGCGGUUGGGAAAGCCUUCUGUAAGGAAACCCCUCGGGGCUUGCUUUUGUGCUGGAUGAAGCUGUCUGAGUCUGGGGUUGUUUUGAGAUAUCGUUAUGAAGUCUGGUGGGCAAGUGGGCAAAGAGGUGUCUGGUCCAAGAGAAAUUAGAGACAAAGGGCUAACAGGGGAACCUAUUAGCAUGCCAAAGCACACGCUGGCUUCCAGGCUCUCGAAAUAGCUGUGGCUCCUCACAGCUCUGCUCACUCUGUCUCUCCUAUUGUGGAGGGCACCUGCAGGCUUUGCAGUGAGGAAAAAAAAAAGGAGAAUCAGCCUGAUUUGGGUAUCGGUGUUGGGCCAAGACUUUGAGAGUCGGACCAUCAAUUCGUUUAUUUUAGCUAUAUUUAAGCACAGCACAAUUUUGGCAACAAGUUUUCUGACAAGUAUCUCAGCCCGGUGCGAGCUACAGGAUGCAUGUCUAAUAACUCUAAUACUGGGCAUGUGAGAUGGCUCAGAUGGUGAAGUUCUUCCUGCACAAGCCCCUGUGACCUGGAUUUGAUCCUCAGAAUGACCACAAAAGCAGGAGGCAAGAACCCCCCCUGUUCUCUGACCUACACAUGCGCAAUGCAGCAUAUGUGUGCUCUCAGUCUUUCUCUCUCUCUCUCUCUCUCUCUCUCUCUCUUACACACACACACACACACAUCAUUAAUAAAUAAAGAUGAAAAUAUCCUA